GCCUCCUUGGCUUAGUGGUACAGCGUCGCACUCGUAAUGCGAAGAUCCCUCGUUCGAUUCGGGGAGGAGGCA
rnacentral:tRNA from 1 species